AGUAACGCGUAUGCGACCUGCCCGUUGCAGGGGGAUAAUCGGGAGAAAUCCCGUCUAAUACCGCGUAAUGCCGCAGGGCUGCAUGGCCCUGCGGCCAAAGGGAGCGAUUCCGGCAACGGAUGGGCAUGCGUGACAUUAGCUAGUUGGCGGGGCAACGGCCCACCAAGGCGACGAUGUCUAGGGGUUCUGAGAGGAAGGUCCCCCACACUGGUACUGAGACACGGACCAGACUCCUACGGAAGGCAGCAG
rnacentral:rRNA from 1 species